AAUAGAUACCCUGGUAGUCCACGCCGUAAACGAUGAGUGCUAAGUGUUAGGGGGUUUCCGCCCCUUAGUGCUGCAGCUAACGCAUUAAGCACUCCGCCUGGGGAGUACGGUCGCAAGACUGAAACUCAAAGGAAUUGACGGGGGCCCGCACAAGCGGUGGAGCAUGUGGUUUAAUUCGAAGCAACGCGAAAAACCUUACCAGGUCUUGACAUCCCAUUGACCACUAUGGAGACAUAGUUUUCCCUUCGGGGACAACGGUGACAGGUGGUGCAUGGUUGUCGUCAGCUCGUGUCGUGAGAUGUUGGGUUAAGUCCCGCAACGAGCGCAACCCUUGUUCUUAGUUGCCAUCAUUUAGUUGGGCACUCUAAGGAGACUGCCGGUGACAAACCGGAGGAAGGUGGGGAUGACGUCAAAUCAUCAUGCCCCUUAUGACCUGGGCUACACACGUGCUACAAUGGACGGUACAAACGGUUGCCAACCCGCGAGGGGGAGCUAAUCCGAUAAAACCGUUCUCAGUUCGGAUUGUAGGCUGCAACUCGCCUACAUGAAGCC
rnacentral:rRNA from 1 species